GAUGAAGAACGUAGCGAAAUGCGAUAAUUAAUGUGAAUUGCAGAAUUCAGUGAAUCAUCGAAUCUUUGAACGCACAUUGCGCCCCCUGGUAUUCCGGGGGGCAUGCCUGUCCGAGCGUCAUUACAACCCUCAAGCUCAGCUUGGUGUUGGGCCCCGCCGCCCCGGCGGGCCCUAAAGUCAGUGGCGGUGCCGUCCGGCUCCGAGCGUAGUAAUUCUUCUCGCUCUGGAGGUCCGGUCGUGUGCUCGCCAGCAACCCCCAAUUUUUUUCAGGUUGACCUCGGAUCAGGUAGGGAUACCCGCUGAACUUAAGCAUAUCAAUAAGCGGAGGA
rnacentral:misc_RNA from 1 species